GAUGAACGCUGGCGGCGUGCCUAACACGUGCAAGUCGAACGGAGUCGUUUUGGAAAUCUCUUCGGAGAUGGAAUUCUCGACUUAGUGGCGGACGGGUGAGUAACGCGUGAGCAAUCUGCCUUUAAGAGGGGGAUAACAGUCGGAAACGGCUGCUAAUACCGCAUAAAGCAUUAAAUUCGCAUGUUUUUGAUGCCAAAGGAGCAAUCCGCUUUUAGAUGAGCUCGCGUCUGAUUAGCUAGUUGGCGGGGUAACGGCCCACCAAGGCGACGAUCAGUAGCCGGACUGAGAGGUUGAACGGCCACAUUGGGACUGAGACACGGCCCAGACUCCUACGGGAGGCAGCAGUGGGGAAUAUUGCGCAAUGGGGGAAACCCUGACGCAGCAACGCCGCGUGAUUGAAGAAGGCCUUCGGGUUGUAAAGAUCUUUAAUCAGGGACGAAACAAAUGACGGUACCUGAAGAAUAAGCUCCGGCUAACUACGUG
rnacentral:rRNA from 1 species